rnacentral:tRNA from 1 species
GCCACCUUAGCUCAGUGGUAGAGCAUCCGCCUUGUAAGCGGAGGGUCGUCGGUUCAAUCCCGACAGGUGGCUCCA